AGGAUGAACGCUGGCGGCGUGCCUAACACAUGCAAGUCGAACGUCCUGUCUCGCAAGAGGCAGGGAGUGGCGGACGGGUGAGUACCACGUGGGUCAUCUACCGUGAGGUGAGGAAUACCGGCGAGAAAUCGCCGACAAGACCGCAUAGGCUCGAUGCAAGUCGAGCAAAGCUCUUUCGAGAGAGGGAGCGCCACACGAGGAGCCUGCGCCCGAUUAGCUAGCUGGUGGAGUAACGGUUCACCAGGGCGACGAUCGGUAGCUGGUCUGAGAGGACGAUCAGCCACACUGGGAUUGAGAACGGUCCAGACUCCUACGGGGGGCAGCAGUGAGGAAUUUUCGUCAAUGGGGGCAACCCUGAACGAGCAACGCCGCGUGCAGGAAGAAGGUUUUCGGAUCGUAAACUGCUUUUCUCGGGGACGAGCAAGGACGGUACCCGAGGAAGAAGCCCCGGCUAACUACGUGCCAGCAGCCGCGGU
rnacentral:rRNA from 1 species